AUGAUGCCAUGGGAGAUGAUGGCAGUGAAGGAGGUGCUUUUGUGGUGUUUUCUGGGCGCUCUGCUCGUGUGGGUUGGAUCGUUGUGUGUUCCCUCUCAGUGUCUUGAUUGUGAAAAAACAACAAAAGUUCCGGCACUGAACGAAUCCUCAGAGGUUUGCGAUGUCUGCGCAAAUAACACAUGCUUUUCUGUCCUCAAACUUGAUGUUAUGGGCUCACACCAGUCGUACUCCCUAACACCAGAUGCCACGGCCCAUCUGAACCCCAGCUCCGAAUAUUCCGUGAAUGAGGGAGACAACCUCAUUCUGCACUGCUACCACAACCUGCCGCUAGUGGACCUGUUUGAGUGGCUGCGAGACGGUGAAGUGCUCGAAUACUCGAAUGUCAGCAAAGUCACACUGAAGGCGUUCAGCACGGCCAAGGGAGCCUACCGAUGCAGGGUCCGAAGUCCCUGUGGCAACUUCACCUCCGAGGAACAGCAGCUGGAUGUUGAAGACGGCAGUGUGCUCUUGGUGGUACUGUGUGGUUCCUGUGCCGUGGUGUUGGUGCUGGGGAUGGGAGCCUCCAUGAAGUACAAGCAGAAGAAAGAGCAAGCUGCUCAAAAGAGGCGCCAGGAGGAGCGCGCCAAGGCGCUCCAGAUGACCUCAAGCAUGACUCCGAGAAAUACCUGAAAAAGUUUGUUCAUUGUCGUGAUGGGUGUGAACUGGGCCAGGGGCGGUUCUAGGUUGCAUUAACAUCCGGGGCUUAGCCCAGAGGGAAAAGAAAAGGAUCCCUUUGGGCAUACAAUUUAAUUUUUUUUGUCCGCUUUAUUGUGCAUGCAAAUUUUUUCUGAAUGCUUUACCUAAAUAAACAAAAAUACGCGGUUUAUUAUAGCUUUAAAUAGCUACCUGACUGCUUUGCUGCUUAUCCCUAAACAUCUACAGCUCAAUUCAAGUUAUUUAAGAGUAAAUGAAUGCAAGUGGGAUUAUAUAUAUAUAUAUAUAUAUAUAUAUAUAUAUAUAUAUAUAUAUAUAUAUAUAUAUAUAUAUAUAUAUAUAUAGAGGGAGAGAGAGAGAGAGAGAAAAUAUUAUUCUUUUAUUUUAUUCAUUUUACCCAAAAAUUAUAUUCGGGGCUAAAUAAAUAAUAUCCGGCGCUUUAGCCCCGAAUAAAACAGCCUUGUGAUGCCACUGAGUAUAAGUAAACAGGACACUGCCUAAGUAUGAGUAUAAGUACCCAUGAUACUGGCUCAGUAUGAGUAUCAGUACACAGGAUACUGGCUCAGUAUGAGUAUAAGUACACAGGAUACUGGCUCAGUAUGAGUAUAAGUACACAUGUUACUGGCUCAGUAUGAGUAUAAGUACCCAUGAUACUGGCUCAGUAUCCUUUGUGGCCCCCUGCCAUCCGUCGGACCCCGUCCUCCGCCACCUGACGUCCGGCCCGUCGAUGGGAACGCCGUCGACGGCAGCGGUGUUUCUAGGUUUCAUAAACAUCCGGGGCUUAGGAAAAUGAAAAUGCCAAAAUUAUUUCUAUGCUUCAUUUUGCAUGAAUUUUUUUCAUAAUGCUUUACCUAAAUAAACGAAAUAUAGUUUAUGAUAGCUUAAAAUAGCUACCUGACUGCUGUGCUGCUUAUCCCCAAAUGUCUAAAGUUCCAUUCAAGUUAUUUCAGAGUAAAAUGAAUACAAGUGAGACAGACUUUACUAGUGGUGAAACGGAUCAGUGUGUCCACGGUUCGGUUCAGAUAACCGUUUUGGGCCUCGGUUUCGGAUACGGUUCGGAUUAGGAUCAUGUCCGUGAUAGUAAAAAGGCAGACUUUUUUUUGACGGAGGGUUUGGGGGAGUAACACAAAAAUGAAUGAGACCCACAGGCUAUUUGCAAUGUGUUAAUUGACUGCAAUCAGACAACUUGCAAGGCUUUUUUGUGCAAUAAAUGUUCCCCUAAAUGCAUUUGAAAACAUGGUGCACUGAGUGUAACAUGUAAGGGAUAACGGCCGACAAGGCUUAGAACUCUGGCGACGAGCGCAGCAUGAAGCCAGAGUUGCCUCUACCUGUCCAUUAUUUCCAUCGAACCGGUCGACCUCGAAGGCCGUUAUCCCGCUUAUCACCCGUUUGUAUUUAUCUCCCGUAUAUUUAGAAUAUAAUUGUAUCAAUUACUUUCUUUAAAUUUAGGAAUCGUUUAAAGCCCAGUUUGUUUUGAACGCUGACAGGCUGAAGGGAGGGGCGGGAAAAGUCUCAUUGGCUCGGGCAGCACUGGAGAGAAUGCAUUCCGCUGGGUCCUAAACACCCUUUGGUAUCGGACGUUGGCUACAGUAGGCAAAAUACGCUACAUAAGGCAAUGCCUUCAUGAAACCGAAAUCCGCGGAUCUCCAGAAUGCUCCGAACUGUGGUAAACGAACCGAACGGAUUCGGAUACAAUUCGAAUCCGCUGCAGGCCUAGACUUUACACACACAUAUCUGACUGGGGAUAGGAUAGGUUAAUUCACUUGAGGUGGUAAAAACGGUUUAUCUUGCCAGACGGACUAUCUAGACUACUUAUAAAUACUAAUACUAAUUAUAAAUAUUUGUACUUUUAAUUUUUUUAACCCAAAAAUUAUUUUCAGGGCUAAUUAAACAGUGUCUGUGAUUAGGAUGUCUGCGUUCAGGGCCUAAUCGACCAGGUAAACACGAGUCCUGCCGUCCUCCGAGCUCCAGGAAACCCACCAAGUUCCAGGUGGUUAAUAUUUAGCUCAGACGUCGUUCACUUAAUACAUUCAUGAUCCAAAAUCUUACCGCAGCUGACCUCAGAUCUGUUGAACUGGGCUUUUAUUUCUUUCACUUCAUAUGCUUCGACCAAUCCUGUUGCUGGAGGCAGUUAUUUGCAGAAAAACUAGACCAGCACAUGAACAUUUUAAAAUGUAAAUACAGAUAUUCCUGAAUAAUUAAGGUGUAUGACAGCUCCCUCUGCUAGACAGUCUCACACCAAACUACAUUUUUCAUUUGAACCAACGUAGCUAUAGUACAUUGAUGUGAGACGGGUUGGUGGAUUGAACGUGUUGUAGUAGCAGAGAAUGGCCUGCAGGGCAGUAUGUACAUUGUUAAAUACAUGAAUAGGCUUCAAUUUUGUAGCAAUAUGGAGGUUUAAUAUUUUUACAAAUGGAUUAUGUGAACAUUGCUGAAUAACAAUCAUGUAUAUUAAAUGUAUUGCAGGAGU
rnacentral:lncRNA from 1 species